rnacentral:rRNA from 1 species
CAAAAGAAGGAGGUAGCUUAACCCUCGGGAGGGCGCUUACCACUUUGUGCUUCAUGACUGGGGUGAAGUCGUAACAAGGUACCCGUAGGGGAACCUGCGGUUGGAUCACCUCCUUACCUUAAAGAA